CUACAGGCUUAACACAUGCAAGUCGAGGGGCAGCAUGGUCUUAGCUUGCUAAGGCCGAUGGCGACCGGCGCACGGGUGAGUAACACGUAUCCAACCUGCCGUCUACUCUUGGACAGCCUUCUGAAAGGAAGAUUAAUACAAGAUGGCAUCAUGAGUCCGCAUGUUCACAUGAUUAAAGGUAUUCCGGUAGACGAUGGGGAUGCGUUCCAUUAGAUAGUAGGCGGGGUAACGGCCCACCUAGUCUUCGAUGGAUAGGGGUUCUGAGAGGAAGGUCCCCCACAUUGGAACUGAGACACGGUCCAAACUCCUACGGGAGGCAGCAGUGAGGAAUAUUGGUCAAUGGGCGAGAGCCUGAACCAGCCAAGUAGCGUGAAGGAUGACUGCCCUAUGGGUUGUAAACUUCUUUUAUAAAGGAAUAAAGUCGGGUAUGGAUACCCGUUUGCAUGUACUUUAUGAAUAAGGAUCGGCUAACUCCGUGCCAGCAGCCGCGGUAAUACGGAGGAUCCGAGCGUUAUCCGGAUUUAUUGGGUUUAAAGGGAGCGUAGAUGGAUGUUUAAGUCAGUUGUGAAAGUUUGCGGCUCAACCGUAAAAUUGCAGUUGAUACUGGAUAUCUUGAGUGCAGUUGAGGCAGGCGGAAUUCGUGGUGUAGCGGUGAAAUGCUUAGAUAUCACGAAGAACUCCGAUUGCGAAGGCAGCCUGCUAAGCUGCAACUGACAUUGAGGCUCGAAAGUGUGGGUAUCAAACAGGAUUAGAUACCCUGGUAGUCCACACGGUAAACGAUGAAUACUCGCUGUUUGCGAUAUACAGCAAGCGGCCAAGCGAAAGCGUUAAGUAUUCCACCUGGGGAGUACGCCGGCAACGGUGAAACUCAAAGGAAUUGACGGGGGCCCGCACAAGCGGAGGAACAUGUGGUUUAAUUCGAUGAUACGCGAGGAACCUUACCCGGGCUUAAAUUGCAGAUGAAUUACGGUGAAAGCCGUAAGCCGCAAGGCAUCUGUGAAGGUGCUGCAUGGUUGUCGUCAGCUCGUGCCGUGAGGUGUCGGCUUAAGUGCCAUAACGAGCGCAACCCUUGUUGUCAGUUACUAACAGGUUCCGCUGAGGACUCUGACAAGACUGCCAUCGUAAGAUGUGAGGAAGGUGGGGAUGACGUCAAAUCAGCACGGCCCUUACGUCCGGGGCUACACACGUGUUACAAUGGGGGGUACAGAGGGCCGCUACCACGCGAGUGGAUGCCAAUCCCCAAAACCUCUCUCAGUUCGGACUGGAGUCUGCAACCCGACUCCACGAAGCUGGAUUCGCUAGUAAUCGCGCAUCAGCCACGGCGCGGUGAAUACGUUCCCGGGCCUUGUACACACCGCCCGUCAAGCCAUGGGAGCCGGGGGUACCUGAAGUGCGUAACCGCGAGGAGCGCCCUAGGGUAAAACUGGUGACUGGGGCUAAGUCAUAACA
rnacentral:rRNA from 1 species